CCUCCUGCACUUCGGAUUGGCUGGGUGGCUGGGAGGCUUCCAGUGACGUACGGGAUUGGCCGAGCUCGGUCCACGAUGACCAAUGAAAAGGCCAGGGGUCUCGCUGGAAGUUUGCCCACGGAGACGCUCAGUGACGCAACGUCCCCUGGAGCCUGAGAGUCUCAAUACUGGCCUCACCUUUGCUACCUUUGUACAUACUGAUGUGGAAAAGAAAUAAGGAAACCGAGUACCCAGCAAAGAGACUCAUCAUAAGAUACAUACAGAGAUACUCCGGCCAAGGAAGACCACCCGGCUCCUGAAGACCUGUUUCAGAAAUGGGGAAAUGCAGGUGGGCCAGUGGUGGCCUGAAGCUGGAGGAUGCGCUGUUUCGCUGGGAGAGCCAGGGAAGGCGGCUGCGCUGGGACCUCUGCAUCCCAGAGUUUGCUGGGACCAAGGAUGGGGUCUGCUUCCCAAGAUCCAGAAGUGGGCCAGCAGGAAGCCCAGAGCCAGCAAGGAGUGCCCUCCGUCCUGCCUGUGAGAGCCAGCUGCACGGCCAGAGCCAGCUCGUGUUUCCACCGCCUUCAGAGCCCUGGUGUAACACCGGCAGGGCCGGCCCACGGGCACGCAGAGGUCACCAGGAGGAAAAGCCUGCCGAGCCAGGGCGCAGGUUUCUAGCAGUCACCCACGGCCUCGGCGGUAAAUGAAGAGUUCGUGGACCCUUAAAUU